GUCCCUGUAGCGCAAUGUUUAGCGAGUUGGACUUCUAAUCCAAAGGUCGUGAUUUCAAAUACCACCUGGAAUG